rnacentral:lncRNA from 1 species
GUAUAAUCACUAAAGGGAGAAUUGAAAGUAAGUUUCAAUUCACAAUCGGUUUGAAAGAGUUCUAAUCGCCCACUACCUCGCUAAAAUGAACCUAAUGGAUCGUACACCGUGUACGGUAAAGAUUGAAGAAACAACGGAGAUGAGUAAGAAUAAUUAAAUGGUUUAAUUAUUUAUGGCAAGGAUUAAUUAAUAUGUUAAUUAAUCAAACGAAUAAGUUCGUUAAAAGACCACGGGAUAGUUUUGGGCCUCAAGGCCCAAUGGGCUUCGAACGUCAAGCCCAUUGACUUAAGUUGUAUGACAACUUAAUGACUAUUAAUUCACAAAGGCCCAAAAGCCCAAUAAAACCCUUAUGGCCGACCAUGUUAGAAGAAUGGCUUUUUGGUUCUUUAGGUCACUUAUUUGAAGGGACUAUAUAAAGGACUUUAUAGCCUAAAUUCAUUAAGGGUUUCUUUUUAUGAAAUUGGAGAGAACACAAAGCUCUCCUUUCUCUCUAAAGAGGCCGGCCACCCUAGAGGAAAUUAACUAGCAAUCUUGCUUCCUCUAGGUCACUCAUUUCUUCAUCAAUCCAUCCUUGGUGUGGAGACUUAGAGGUUCUCAAUUUUGGGAACUUGGAGAAUCUAUUCUUCCAUCCAAAUCCAUGGAUCUAAGAAGCAAUGAAUGAAGGCCCUCUCCUUGGGUGAUUAGCCUUUGCUUAUGCAAAGAGGAAUCUACUAAGGUAUAAAUUUCUCAACUCACUUUGUUUUGAGUUGAGUCUUGGUUCACCCAUCUACUUGGCUUUGAAUUUCAUGGGUAAUGUUUUGUUUUUGAGUGCAUGCUAGCAUGAUUCCGCAUUUAAUUGUUAAUUGCAUGCUUAUAGAUGUUGCUCAAAUGAACAUGUUUUCACAAAAUCAUCCUUCAAACCACAUUCACGAUUCAUGAAACAAUAACUGGUGGAAAUCAAUUCAUAUAAAACAUAUAAUCAUGGCUUCGAAUUCACCUCCAACUAUAAAGAAAUUAGUUCCUCAUGUUCGCAAUUAAACAAACAUAAUUUAAAUUAAACAUUGAAAUCAAAGAUAGAAUACACCUAAGGACGCUCCAGCAAUCCAGUCUUCUUGAAUGUCAAGCACGGCUCCAAGUUUCUUCCUUCUUCUCCUUCCUUAGCUGUGGCACAAUGAGGGAUUUAUGGUGAAUGGUGUAAUGAAUUGUGGUAGAGGGUGGUGUUUUUUAAUGGUAGAGGGUUGUGUACGAAUUUUGGCUGAAAAACUUAUAUUUAUAGGCUUGGGUUUUCAUAAAUCCUAGUGGGAAAAGGCUAGGGUUUUGUAGAAAAAGGCUUGGCCCAAUCCAAGGUGGAAAAGAACUAGGGUUUGUGGUAGAUUUUUAGGCUUCUAGAAAGAGAAUAGGCGCCACUUUUUUUAGGCUUCUAGAAAGAUCAUGUUUUGUAGCAGAAUUGGGACUUCUAGAAGGGUUUGGGGCGCCACCUUUCUAGGGCUUCUAGAAAGGUGGAUGCGGCAUGUGUUUAAGGGAAGAUAUAGGCCUUCUAGAAGGGUUUUAGGUGCCCUUGCAGCUGAUUAUUCAUCUUCCAAGUCUUGAAUUGAUUUCUCCAUCUCUUUAGCACGUUUCUAGCUUCACUUGAUCUUCAAAAAUGCCCAUUCCUUGUGCUCUACAUGCAUUCAAUCCAUUCCAGCGCAUAAUUGCUCUAAAAUGCUUCAAAAUGCACUUUCUUGCCAGCUUUGCCAAUUAGACCUACAAACAAUCGAAAAUAGCUUAAAUCACUAUAAUAAACACAAAGUAACUAUGAAAAUGCAAGAAAACAAGCUAAUUACGUCGCAUAAAUAAGCUCCUAUCAACCAUACAAGGCAAAAACCUAUUAGUUGAAAUGGGAAUUGGCAUUGGAGGUGGUGUCUCACUAAUGUGGUGCAAUGAAGUGGCAACACUAUCAACAGAUGAACAAGGGGUGCUCUCGGCCAGAUUUAGUGGUAUGAUGGUUGUGGCGUGUCCCUUAUGCUUUACUCUAAUUCCCUCUUCAUUGGUGCUUCAAAAUUCAUCCCUCUUAAUUGGUGUUGAAUGUUCCUGCCCUAUAACUUUAAUUACAUCAAUGGGAAAACAAUAACGAACAUCAUUAGCAUUCUCAAUAGAUUUAGUAUUUUUAAAGUUAAUCAUAUCGCCACCAAACGCCAUUGUCAACGCUCCAUUGGCCACAUCAAUUUUGGUUUAAGCUGUUUUCAUGAAAGGUCAUCCAAGUAAAAUUGGCAAUGGUGAAGAGUGGGCUGAAUCCUCCAUGUCAAGCACAUAGAAAUCUGCAGGAAAAAUCAAGUGGUCUACUUGCACCAAAACAUCUUCCAAAACUCUUUUCGAGUAUGCAUUAGUUCGAUUGGCUAAUUGAAUAAUAACACCAUCAUUUUUAAGCUCUCCUAAAUUCAUAGAUGCAUAAACAGAAUAUGGCAUAACAUUAAUUGAUGCACCUAAAUCUAGCAUAGCAUGUUCAAACCUUGUAUUACCAAUUACACAACGGAUAGUGAAACUACCUGGAUCUUUGCAUUUAGGUGGCAGCUUUCUUUGCAACAUUGCAGAGACAUUCUCACUCACAUGUACCACCUCUUUCUCUCGAAUCCGUUUCCUUGUUGUACAAAGCUUCUUAAAAAACUUAGCAUACUUCAGAAUUUUCUUUAUGGCAUCAAGGAGCGGGAUAUUGACGUGCACCUUCCUAAAAAUCUCCAUAAUGUCUUUUUCAUCCUCUUCGUUCUUAGAUUGCAUAAACCUGCCAGGAAAAGGCACAUUUGGUGGAAUAACAUGAGAAUUAACCGAAUUGGAACCAACCUUACCUAAAUUGGCCGAAUUGGAGGGUUUAGGGGGAUGCGGCAAGGGUUGUGCAAUCCUUGUCAUGGCCUUGACUUGUUCCUCCUUCUCGAAUUGUAGUUUCUCGUCCUCUUUUGGGCUUGAUUUGGAUGGUUUUGGGUCAGUUCCAACUUCUUUUCCACUUCUCAGCGUGAUUGCCUUGGUGGUUUCAAAGCUUCUUUUUGGAUUGACGAUGGUGGAGCUUGAUAGACGCAUAUUUAUGCGACUUAGUUAACUAGUUUUCUUGCAUUUACGUUAUUAGUUCUUAGUUAUUUUAGUACUUUAAGCCAUUUUCGUGUGUUUGUAGGUCCAAAGGGCUAAGGUAGCAAGAAAGUGCAUUUUGGUGCAUUUUGGAGCAGUUUUGAGCUUGGAAUGGAUUACAUAUGAUAUGAGCAAGAUGGAUGGACGAAUUUGAAGACAAAAGAGGCUAAGAACAUGCUAAAAAUCUGGUGAAACAAAUACAAGUUGCAAGAAGGGAUAAAUUUCUAAAAGGAUUGGCCAAAACUUCACUCAAAACACAUCAAUGCCGUGACUUUUACUUCCACCUCCACCAGAAAUUUGAGUAAUGAUGCAAUGCUUAAAUCACCAUGACAUGUGAGUGGAUGAUGCAAUGCUUAGCUAACCAUGACAUGUGAGUGGAUGACUCAAAACCUACCCCAACAACAAUUCCCACUCUUGCCGUGACUUACCUACCCAUUCCACCAGAAAUUUUGUGCUUAAACAAGUCCAUCAUCUCCCUAUAAAUACCAUGCAGCAAACCUCAUUGAAUUCAUCCAGAAAUUAACCAUUCUCCAAGCCUUUCCUUGCCUCUCCUACAUAUCUAAACCCCUUCCCAUCCAUUCCUCCAAAUAACCAACCCUUCAACAUCAUUCCAACCUUGUUGUGGCGGCAAGGAGAAGGAGAAAAGUCCUUGGACGCGCUUGCUAUCCAACAUGGAUCGUUGGAACAUUUAGGUGCUUUCUUCCCUUUGUUUUUCAAUGGUUAAAUUUGUUUAUCUUUGUUUUGUAAUAAUGAGGAACUAAACCCCCUUGGCUAGGGGGGGAUUCAAAACCAUGUUUAUGCUUGCUAUAUGAUUUGAUUACUUCCAAUUGCGUUUCUUGAAUUGUGAAUUCAAUUUACUUAUCCGUUCGUAUAAAAACUAAUUUGCGUAUGUUGGUUGAGAGUGCACGCUUAAUUUUCAUGCAUGAAUUUGACGCUAGAAUAUAAGGGAGUUUCACCUAAUCGUUAUGAACUUAUAUUCACAAGUAGUGAAGGUUGCUAGUCACAAUCACGUUAAGUAAAUUCUUGGCAUAAGUUUCAUGCAAAUCAUAGUAACGAGUGCCUCGUCAAUGCUUAUGUUUUUCAUAGAACUUAAUGAUUCUUGCUUGUAUCUCUAUUAUGCAAUUCAUGUAGGGAACUUGUAGGGAGUGUUUUGGGUUGUCGUAUGCAAUCAUCCCAAUCUAAUAACUUGUUGAAAAACUGAGAGUUAAUUAGUGCAAUUCACGGUUAAUUUGGGGCGUUGAGUAUUCAUAACUUAUCGAAGAGCAAUUGGAAAUCAUUUUGUAUGCAAGCAAGACAUGUGUGGAGAAGAACCCCUUAGCUAGCCUUCCAUUAUCCAUUCAACCCAAAUUUGUUUAAAAUCUAUUUAAGUUUUUAGUUUAUUCGUUUUUACUUUCAACUUCACCAAACUCAAAUCCCCCUUUUACUUUCUUGUUUUAAAAUCUUUUGUUUACAUUUUUAACUUUGUUUCUUUUUGUUUUUUGAGUUAGUUUAGAGGUUUUAGCAAGCCCUCCUAAUCCUCGGUUUAGAACGAUCCCUACUUACAUACUUUGCUACAAUUGUCAAAAAGUGGGUUUAAUUUGUGUGUCAAGUAAUUCUCGCAUCAGAGCUAGGUAGUUUCCCUUCUUCUUUAAACUGCCCCAUGAACUCCGCCAUCUGCCCAAUUUGUUUCUUCAUUUUCCCCAUCUAUUUGGCUUGAUUUUGGAGUCCCUGAGUCAAAGAAGUUAGUUUUGAAAGAACUUUAUCAUUGUCCAAGGACGAACCUGAAUUUGUUUGGGCAGAUUGUGGUGGAGGUUGUGGUGGUGCGUAUGGCAUUUGAUAUAUCCUAGAGGGUGGCUGUUGAAAUCCUCCUUGUUGUUGAGAUUGUUAAGGUUCCUUCCACUUGAAGUUUGGAUGAUCUCUCGAGCCUGGAUUGUAAGUGUUGGAGUACGAGUCAUUUCGUAGCUGAUUUUGGCCUUGAUAUCUCACGGCAUGGGCAGUUUCCCAUCCUCCAUUCUCAAUCAAUUGAGGGCAUUGACCAUUGAGAUGCCCCUGUAUUGAGCACAUUCCACAUAUGGCCGCACUUUGCACUUUGGAUCCAUCGACAACCUUUGACAAAAGAACAGUAAGAUUAGCCAUUUGAGAUUGAAGUUCAGAAAUUGCACUUACCUCAUUAACAUGUUGCUGCCGCGGGGGCACCCUUUGUCCAACUCCUUCAUAUUGUUAUGCAUUCAAGGCUCAGUUGGUAAUUAAGACCUUUGCAGCCACCGAUGUUUUAUCAACCAAAGCACUUCCUGCUGAAGCAUUAAGCAUUUAUCUCUCAAUUGGAAGAAGUCCUUCGUAGAAAUAUUGAAUUAAAAGCUUCUUAUUCAUCUGGUGUUGUAGGUUCAUAGGCCUUAUGAAGUAAUAAGAUGCAUUUUGGUGCAUUUUGGAGCAAUUUUGGGCUUGGAAUGAAUAGCACAUGCAUGGAGCAAGGUGGAUGGACGAAAUUGAAGACUAAAGAGGCUAGGAGUGUAAAGAUGACCAAAAUCUGUGGGAAUGAUGAUUUUUAACAUGUCAUGUUUCAUUAAAAAUCCCUGAGGCAAAUGUUGGAAGGUCUAGGUUGUGUUUUGUUUGUUUCGUUUGUUUUGUUUUGCUCGAGGACUAGCAAAAGCUAAGUGUGGGGGAAUUUGAUAGAGCAUAUUUAUGCGACCGAGUUAGCUUGUUCUCAUGCAUUUAUGUUGUUAUUUCUUAGUUAAUUAUGUAUUUUAAGCUAUUUUCGUGUGUUUGUAGGUCCAUAAUUAUAAAGCAAUAAGAUGCAUUUUGGAGCAGUUUUGGGCUUGGAAUGAAUAGCACAUGCAUGGAGCUAGGUGGAUGGAUGAAAUUGAAGACUAAAGAGGCUAGGAAUGUGUUAAAGAGAAAGAAGAAUUAAUGUAAAAAGGACAAAGAGCUCAGCCACAAAGGGGUGUCACUACACCAUUCACCUUUCCAUCAUUGUCGUGCACCACCAUUGCACUCCCUUUGGAUUCCUAUGCCGUGCAUCAUCAUCAAUGUUCCCUCCAUUGUUUUUAGUUACUGACUUUGUUUCUGUUUGUGUUUUUUUUUUGGUUUUACUUUUGAUAUUUGAUUUAGUUUUGUUUCCUUGAUUUCAGAUACUAGAGAAGUAAGACAUGGAUUUUGCUACCCUUCAAGCUUAAUUGGCAGAACUUACUUCUCAAUUGUCACAAUAUGCUGAAAGGACCACAAUGCAAAGUGUCCCUACAUGUGGUGUGUCCAAUGGGCAAGGAUAUUCAAUUCAGCAAUAUUCUCAAUUUGCUGCGAAUGAAGAUGCUUAGGGUUAUCAAGGCCAUAGCCAAUCAUGGGACAACAUGUUUUCCAACGCUUACAAUUCGGAUUGGAGAGAUUAUUCAGAUUACAUAGAACCUUAACAAUUCCAACAAGAUGGAUAUUGGCAGCAAGAAGAGGAGUUCCAUUCAAGACCUAUGCAGCCUGUUGGAAAUGUGCCCUAAAACCAAUCAUAUGAUGAUACUUUACGGACAUUUCACAUGUUAAACUAAUCUAGUUUAAUAUCAAGGGCAAAGAUUAUUGUUUUAAGCCGUCUCAUAUAAAUGUUAUAUGCUUAUGAAGGAAAUUUUGUGAAAAACAUGUUCAUUUGAGCAACAUCUAUAGCAUGCAAUUAACAAAUUAAAGGCGGAAUCAUGCUUGCAUGCACUCAAAACAAAACAUUACCCAUGAAAUUCAAAGCCUAGUAGUUAGGUGAACCAAGACUCAACUCAAAACAAAGUGAGUUGAGAAAUUUAUACCUUUGUUGAUUCCUCUUUGCAUAAGCAAAGGAUAAUCACCCAAGAGAUAGGGCCUUAAUUCCUUGCUUCUUAGCUCCAUGGAUUUGGAUGGAAGAAUUGGUUUCUCCAAGUUCUCAAAGUUGAGAACCUCUAAGUCUCCACACCAAGGUAAGAUUUUAAGAAGAAAUGAGUGACCUAGAGGAAGUAAGAUUGCUAGCUAUUUUCCUCUAGGGUGGCCGGCCUCUUUAGAGAGAAAAGAGAGCUUGUGUUCUCAUCCUUUCCCCAAAAGAAAACCCUAAAUGAAUUUUGGCUAUAAAGUCAGAUUUAUACCUACAUUAAUUGGAGUGGCAAACUUGUAAUUAAGUCCAAAACCCACUCCUUUAUCAAUAUGGCUGGCCAUAGGGUUUCAUUGGGCUUUUUAGGCCUUUGUGAAUUAUUUGUCAUUAAGUUGUCAUACAACUUAAGUCAAUGGGCUUGACGUUCGAAGCCCAUUGGGCCUUGAGGCCCAAAACUAACCCGUGGUCUUUUAACGAACUUUAUUCGUUUGAUUAAUUAACAUAUUAAUUAAUCCUUGCCAUAAAUAACUAAACCAUUUAAUUAUCCUAACUCAUCUCCUUCGUUUCUUCAAUCUCUACCUUACACGGUGUACGAUCCAUUAGGUUCCUUUUAGCGAGGCAGUGGGCAAUUAGAACUCUUUCAAAUUGAUUGUGAAUUGAAACUUACUUUCAAUUCUCCCUUUAGUGAAUAUACACGUUUAGGGCUUCCACAAACCAUGAGUGACACCUAGCAGUAUGUCAUGGUUACCCAAGCUAAUCAGAAGAGGUGGAGUACCUAUUCAGUUUAAGAUUACAAUGCAAUACGGUCUUUCUCUAAUACAAUACUCUUGACCACAUUGUUUGGUUUGAUAGUUUAUUCAUGCCUACUAUCCAAUGUGAUGCAUUUACUUAUAUGAUUACCUUGAAUGUGAUUUAGAACGACUUCUUAAAUCUCAUUCAUACUCUGGCUAGAGAUUCUUAAUCAUAUGAUUAAGUAUUCUCCCUCAAACGUUUUGAAGGUUAGAGAUCCCUUGUUGUGCAUUCACUUGCCUCCAUGGCUAAGUGGCUUAACCCCAACUAUGCCGUGGACACCCUCGGACGGGGGUGACUUUGACAUAGUCAAAGAUCAAGGACCUAACCACAAGGCAACUAUGAUGCCUCAGGUCAAAGGACUAUUUGCAUUAUCCCAACCAUGAGUUCUCAUGUGACAUGAGUAUGAGAACUCCUCGUUGAUUGUGUUCAGUGGACUCAUUCAUUAUUGAGCACCUACAUGCUUGUCUUGGUGUCAAUCACACCAAUGACUCGAGACUAGUCACUCUCCCUAAGAGAAGACAUAGCAUGUACUGAUCUUAACGGAUUGUCAAUGCCCAAUUGACAAUCCUAUGAUCAGGAACGUUUAGGAUAUGUAUACAAAAGAGAAUGGUCUCAUUAAUCUAACUUGUUUAAAUUACAUUCUCCUCAUUACAUAUUCCUUGGACUUAGAGUUUAAACAUAUAACAUUUAUAUGAAACGGCUUAAAACAAUAAUCUUUGCCCUUGAUAUUAAACUAGAUUAGUUUAACAUGUGAAAUGUCCGUAAAGUAUCAUCAUAUGUUUGGUUUUAGUGCACAUUUCCAACAGCUUAAACGAUAAGUCCAAGGAAUAUGUAAUUAGGAGAAUGUAAUUUAAAGAAGUUAGAUUCAUGAGACCAUUCUCUUUCGUAUACAUAUCCUAAACGUUCUUGAUCAUAGGACUGCCAAUUGGGCAUUGACAGUCCGUUAAGAUCAGUACGUGCUAUGUCUUCUCUUAGGGAGAGUGACUAGUCUCGAGUCAUUGGUGUGAUUGACACCAAGACAAGCAUGUAGGUGCUCAAUAGAGAAUAAGCCCACUAAACACGAUCAACGAUGAGUUCUCAUACUCAUGUCACAUGAGAACUCAUAGUUGGGAUAAUGCAAAAUACUCCUUUGACCUGAGGCAUCAUAGUUGUCUUGUGGUUAGGUCCUUCAUCUUUGACUAUGUCAAAGUCACUCUGUCAGAGGGUGUCCAUGGCAUAGUUGGGGUUAAGCCACUUAGGCAUGGAGGCAAGUGAAUGCGCAACAAGGGAUCUCUAACCUUCAAACCAUUUGAGGGAGAAUACUCUAUGAUAUGAUUAAGAAUCUCUGGCCAAAGUAUGAAUGAGAUUUAGGAAAUCGUUCCAAAUCACAUUCAAAGUAAUCAUAUAAGUAAAAGAAUCACAUUGGAUAGUAGACAUGAAUAAACUAUCAACCCAAACAAUGUGGUCAAGAGUAUUGUAUUAGAGAAAGACUGUAUUGCAUUGUAAUCCUAAACUGAAUAGGUUCUCCACCUCUUCUGAUUAGCUUGGGUAACCAUGACAUACUGCUAGGUGUCACUCAUGGUUUGUGGAAGCCCUAAACAUGUAUAAUCACUAAAGGGAGAAUUGAAAGUAAGUUUCAAUUCACAAUCGAUUUGAAAGAGUUUUAAUCGCCCACUGCCUCGCUAAAAGGAACCUAAUGGAUCGUACACCGUGUAAGGUAGAGAUUGAAGAAACAAUGGAGAUGAGUAAGAAUAAUUAAAUGGUUUAAUUAUUUAUGACAAGGAUUAAUUAAUAUGUUAAUUAAUCAAACAAAUAAAGUUCGUUAAAGACCUCGGGUUAGUUUUGGGGCCUAAAGGCCCAAUGGGCUUCGAACGUCAAGCCCAUUAACUUAAGUUGUAUGACAACUUAAUGACUAAAUAUUCACAAAGGCCCAAACAGCCCAAUAACACCCUAUGGUCUGCCAUAUUGAUAAAGGAGUGGGUUUUGGACUUAUUACAAGUUUGCCACUCCAAUGAAGGUAGGUAUAAAUAUGACUUUAUAGCCUUUUCUUGAUUAGGGUUUCUUUUAGAGAAGAUGAGAACACAAUGUCUCUCCCUUUCUCUCUAAGAGGCCGGCCACCCUAGAGGAUUUCAGCUAGCAAUCUUACUUCCUCUAGGUCACUCAUCUCUUCUUCAAGUCCUACCUUGGUGUGGAAAAAUUAGAGGUUCUCAACUUUGGGAACUUGGAGAAUCCUUUCAACCAUCAUCAUCCAAGAAAUCCAUGGAUCUAAGAAGCAAGGAAUGAAGGCCCUCUCCUUGGGUGAUUAGCCUUUGCUUAAGCAAAGAGGAAUCAAUGAAGGUAUAAAAUCUCUCAACUCACUUUGUUCUUGAGUUGAGUCUUGGUUCACCUUUCUACUAGGCUUUGAAUUUCAUGGGUAAUAUUUUAUUUUGAGUGCAUACAAGCAUGAUUCCGCCUUUAAAUGUUAAUUGCAUGCCAUAGAUGUUGCUCAAAUGAACUUGUUUUUCACAAAAUUUCCUUCAAGUGGUAUCAAGAGCCUAGGUCUAGUAGUUGGUGAAUUCUUUUGGGUUUUUUUAUUUUCGUAGUUUAUGAUUUGAAUGUUGUAAUUGUGACAAGCUUUAUUCUUGCUUCUUUGAAUGUAAAUUUUGUUAGAAAAUUUGUCAUCUCAAAUGUUGUAGAUGUAGUUCAUAUGAGCAUGAAUUUUGGAGCUAAAACUUGGUGCCAUGUUUUUGGGGAAACUCGGCCAAAUCCAAAGGAUGGAUUUUAGGGUUCAUGUUUGUCUUGUUAAAAGUGUUUUAAAGUGACAUUAGGAACCCCUAAGUACCCUAGUAUGGUAAUAUGUUUUUUCCCUUAAGUUUGAGAGUUUUUUGGGGUGUCUUUAGGUGAAAAAUGUUCAUGGAGCUCUUAUGGGUUUUCAUGGAUGUUCUUCAUUGUUCUUGUUAUGUUUUUGGCAAGAACAAAAAGGUUGGGUAUUUUGAUUCAAAAGUUGAAUAAAGUUUUUGUUUGUGAUGGAUGGUUUGAAUUUUCAAUAAAUACCAAUACCAAUCACUUACACAUUUUCCUUGUUUCAAGGAACCAUGUUUUAUGGAAACCUACUUUUUUCAAACCAACCCAUCACCUUUUCAACCCAUCACCUUUCACUUUGUUGAAAAAUUCAAAAGUUUUUAUGACACCAUCACUCUCACCAACCGGCCACCCUAUUAAAAUAGGGUACUUUUGGGGGGUUUAUGCAAUUACAUAAAGUUUUGAUACUUUUGUGUAUUUGUACUUUGAC